CCACAACCACCACACGCACCACCCACAUGUGACAAGAGAACCAAUCGUAUAUGGUCAAGCGUACUUCAAAUAUGACCAUUAUUGUCAUCUCAUGGCUUACAAAGAUGAAACCCUCACAUGUUACAUUUUUGCGGUUCACCCAGAUGACCGACAUCUUGUGCAUACUGCAAGCGGGCUACUGUCUCUUGAGGUGAAGAUGUUGACCUUGGCUAUCAAUGCUACUGAGCCCUACCUCCGGGACGACUUGGAGGUGAGAAGUAAACGCCUGGCAAGCAUGUGUCCUAAAGACUACACCCUCAUCAGUCUUAAUUAAAUGUAAA